GGCGCUGGGGAGAGUGUGAGUGUGUGUGUGUGUGAGGGACUUGGGGAGCGGUGGGUAUAUUGCAAGCUAAAGUGCAGUCACUAUUCCGGGUAUAAAGAGAGGAGUCGGUGGUGCGAUACCCACGUGUGGCCUCCAUGUAACUUUCCCACUGGGCAUGGGGCUGCUUAGUCGCUACUUUGCCAGGGAUCUGCCGGCCUCCGGCCCUGAUAGCCUACACUAAUGGGCAACCCGCCCGCGGUCACUAGGACCCUGUACAUGUGUAUGAUUAUAAGCUCUUGAUGCCUCCCUGUGCCAGCUGCAGGGAUAUGGUAUCUGUGUACAUGCCUGUUACUCGGUUUGAGCAUAGGAGAUAUCCAGUACAGAUGAACCAGAGUUAUAUUGAGGAAUGUAGUAUGGAUAAUAUCUGUUACUAAAGUGGGAACAUAUUCUGUACCAGCCUAUGUAGCAGCUGAACUAAUUUCUGGAUAUGUAGUCACAAUACUGUAAAACAAAGAACUGGGGCAUAAUCUCUACUGUUGGAUCUGGCCGAACCCUGACUCCUUUGCAAAAGUUUCAGCCAAAUCCCGAAUCCUGAUUUGCAUAUGGAAAUUAGACAAAGGAAGAGAAAUGCGCGCUUUGCACACGGUAUGCAUAUGCAUUGGAGUUCUAUACAUCAGAAGAAAGAAAUGUUUCAAUGGACAAGAGCUGUGGCAGUGGAGGUGAUAAACAGCUCAUUUCCAGCUCAUCCCUGCACUACAAGACAUGACAAAUAGGCAUAUAUGUAUGGCAUUAUGGAAAAUCUAAAAUGCGUCGACUCAUAGCACUUUCACUGAUGUCAGAAGGAAGCAACCCACAGUGAGCAGCUGGUGUUUGGGCCAACAGAAACAGUGAAGAAAAUGUCCUGUGCCACAUCAUUAAAAAACAAAUGUAAUCCUACUGAACAAGGCAUCCACAGAGAAGUCUUAUAAUGAAGAAGAGCUGUGGAGCUGGACAUGAAACGCAGUGUAUUUGGAUGGCGCCCUCUACAGUUCAGCUGCAAGGAACACGGUCAGAAAGGGUUUUGUUCUGUAAAUCUGAUGUGAUCAAGUUCCAUCGCUUGAGCUUUUCUUUGAAAAAUCUGAGAUGUAUAGUGUUCUGUAAAUGAAUAGAAGCAGAAUUUUUCACAAAUUAACCCACUGUGUUCCAUCUCUUCACUAUAACAUGGAAAAGUAGAAACUUCGGCACUGGCUACUUUAGUGUCCACAUCACAGAUUGCCUGGGAUGGGAAGGGUUAAACUGGCAUAAUUACACAAAUGGAUAGCCAAAGGUGGGCAUGUGAUAUAUUUUAUAAAAAUGAUUCUAAUAAAGUUUUACAUAAAUAUCCUCA